rnacentral:rRNA from 1 species
GAUGAACGCUAGCGGCAGGCUUAACACAUGCAAGUCGAGGGGUAUAUGGUGCUUGCACCAUUGAGACCGGCGCACGGGUGCGUAACGCGUAUGCAACCUACCUUUCACAGGGGGAUAGCCCAGAGAAAUUUGGAUUAAUACCCCAUGGUAUAAUGUUGUGGCAUCACAGUAUUAUUAAAGUUCCAACGGUGAAAGAUGGGCAUGCGUCCCAUUAGCUAGAUGGUAAGGUAACGGCUUACUAUGGCAACGAUGGGUAGGGGUCCUGAGAGGGAGAUCCCCCACACUGGUACUGAGACACGGACCAGACUCCUACGGGAGGCAGCAGUGAGGAAUAUUGGACAAUGGGCGCAAGCCUGAUCCAGCCAUGCCGCGUGCAGGAUGAAGCAUCUAUGGUGUGUAAACUGCUUUUGUACGGGAAGAAACACCCCUUCGUGAAGGGGCUUGACGGUACCGUAAGAAUAAGGAUCGGCUAACUCCGUGCCAGC